CAGUCCUCAUUCAGUAGAAGUCAAAAAAGUCAAAGGCUGCACCCUGCAGUUGUUACAUACACAGAAGAAGAAGGGUGAAGAGAAAGAAACCAAAUCUUUGCUGAGUGCCUUUGACAUCCUGACCAUGGCAACCAUGCGAAUGCUUCUCUUUCUGGCUAUCUUCUAUUCUGCAGGGAUUUGCAUGAUCUCCUCUGUCACAGACCCCAAUGAUGCUGCUGUGCUCCUAUCCUUGAAGAAUUCGUGGCAAAAUACGCCACCCAGUUGGGACAAGUCAAAUGAUCCCUGUGAUUCCCGGUGGGAGGGAGUCACCUGUAACAAUUCAAGGGUGUCUGGACUGGGAUUAUCAAACAUGAGCCUCAAGGGGAAACUUUAUGGUGACAUUGGUGGACUCACUGAAUUAAGAUCCUUGGACCUUUCCUUCAACCCUGGCCUCACAGGUCCUCUCUCUCCAAGAUUAGGGAAUCUGAAAAAUUUAAGUAUCCUGAUCCUAGCUGGUUGCAGCUUCAAUGGUGAAAUUCCAGAUGAAUUAGGCAAUCUUGCAGAGCUAUCCUUCUUGGCUCUGAAUUCAAAUAACUUUUCUGGUGCCAUACCUCCUUCUUUGGGCAAACUCUCCAAACUCUACUGGCUGGACCUGGCAGACAAUCAAUUGACUGGAACAAUUCCAAUUUCGACCUACCAUUCCCCUGGCUUAGACCUCCUGUUGAAGGCUAAACACUUCCAUUUGAACAAGAACCAGCUUUCAGGUGUCAUACCGGCCAAACUUUUCAGCUCUAAGAUGGCACUGAUACAUUUGUUGCUUGACGGAAAUAGAUUUACUGGUACUAUCCCAGUAACAUUAGGACUUAUUAAGAAUCUUGAGGUUCUUCGGCUUGAUACAAAUGCUCUGGCUGGAAGUGUCCCCUCAGAUCUUAACAACCUUACGAAUGUCAACGAAUUAAAUUUGGCCCACAACUACUUGUCAGGCCCUCUACCUGACUUAAGUGGAAUGAAUUCCCUCAAUUAUGUAGACCUUAGCAACAACUCAUUUGACCCAUCAGAAGCUCCACUCUGGUUCUCAACCUUACCCUCACUCACCACUUUGGCCAUCGAAUUUGGAUCACUUCAAGGGGUUGUGCCAGAGAAGCUUUUCAGCCUUCCAAAUUUACAACUGGUGAAGCUCAAAUACAAUGCGUUUAACGAUACAUUGAACAUGGGCGAUAGCAUCAACCCACAACUGCAGCUUGUUGAUCUGCAGAACAAUCAGAUUUCCAGAAUAAUUCUGGGUUAUGAAUACAAAAAUACAUUAAUACUUUUCGGGAACCCGGUUUGCAGCAGCAGUUCUGGUGCAUCAAAUGCUACUUUCUGUCAGCCUCCCCAUCAAACUACAAAAUUUGCUUGCUCCUUCACCACCAUGGCAACCAUGCGGUUGCUGCUCUUUCUGGCUUUCUGCUAUGCUGGGAUUCAUAUGAUCUCUUCUGAAACAGACCCCGGUGAUGUUGCUGUUUUCAUAUCCUUGAAGAGGGCAUGGACGAAUCUUCCACCCAGCUGGAACGACAAAUCAAAUGAUCCCUGUGGAAUGAACUGGGAAGGAGUGACCUGCAACAAUUCGAGGGUGACCGCAUUGGGAUUAUCAGCAAUGGCCUUGAAAGGAAAAAUUGAAGGCGAUAUCGGGGGACUCUCUGAAUUAAGAUCCUUGGACCUUUCAUUCAACCAAGGCCUCACGGGUUCUCUGUCUCCACGAUUAGGAGAUCUGAGCAAGUUAAAUAUCCUGAUCCUAGCUGGCUGCGGCUUCAGUGGCAAUAUUCCAGAUGCUCUGGGCAAUCUUGGAGAGCUAACUUUCUUGGCUCUGAAUACGAAUAACUUUACUGGUAAAAUACCUCCUUCUUUGGGUAAACUCUCCAAACUUUUCUGGUUGGACCUGGCAGACAAUCAGUUGACUGGAACUCUACCAAUUUCAACCCCCGAUAACUCGGGCUUAGACGAACUAUUCAAGGCUAAACACUUCCAUUUCAACAAGAACCAGCUUUCAGGUACCAUUCCACCCAGACUUUUCAGCCCUAAGAUGAUACUGAUACACAUUUUGUUUGAUGGAAAUCAAUUUACUGGGGAGAUUCCAUCAACCAUAGCACUCGUUCAGACUCUUGAGGUUCUUCGGCUUGAUAGAAAUGCUCUGACAGGAAAUGUCCCCUCAAAUAUCAGCAGCCUAACAAAUGUCAAUGAACUAAAUUUGGCCCACAACAAUUUGUCAGGCCCUCUACCGGACUUAACUGGAAUGAGUUCCCUCAAUUAUGUAGACCUGAGUAACAACUCAUUUGACCCAUCAGAAGCUCCACCUUGGUUCUCAAACUUACCCUCAAUCACCACUAUCGUUUUAGAAUUUGGAGCACUUGAAGGGACUGUGCCAGAGAAGAUGUUCAGCAUCACAUCAUUGCAGCAAGUGAAACUGAAAAACAAUACGUUUAACGAUACAUUGAAAUUGGGUGAUAGCAUCAGUCCACAGCUGCAGCUUGUUGAUCUGCAGAACAAUCAGAUUCCUAAAAUAACUCUGGGUUAUGAAUACAAACAUACAUUAAUACUUGUAGGGAACCCAGUUUGCACCAGUGGAACUAGCUCAAAUUCAUUCUGUCAGCUUCCACCGCAACAAGAUACAGAAACGUAUACUACUAGCUCGAAUUGUGCACACAUUACAUGCCCCGAUAAUCAGAAGCUCAGCCCUCAGAGUUGUCAAUGUGCAUAUCCUUUUGAAGGAACAUUGUAUUUCAGAGCACCCUCUUUCAGGGAAUUGUCAAAUGUGACUAUGUUUCACUCACUAGAAACGGGUCUAUGGGAAACACUUGGCCUCACUCCUGGUUCAGUUUCUCUUAAAAAUCCUUUCUUCAACACUAAUGACUAUCUUCAAAUUCAGCUGGCACUCUUUCUACCUAUAGGAACAUAUUUUAGUUCCCUGCAUUAGAAGAUUGAUUAAACUGACAAUAAAAACUCAAAAUUGUUUCAGGUGGGAAUAAAAGUUCUAUGAGCACUGGUGUUAUUAUUGGGAUAUCAGUUAGUUGUGUAGUUCUUGUACUGGGCCUCGUGGUAGUGGGAAUAUAUGCCAUUAGGCAAAAGAAACGUGCAGAAAGAGCCAUUGGAUUAAGCCGACCUUUUGCUUCUUGGGCACCAAGCGGAAAAGAUAGUGGUGGUGCACCACAGUUAAAGGGAGCAAGAUGUUUUUCUUUUGAUGAGCUUAAGAAAUGCACAAAUAAUUUCUCUGACAGUAAUGAGAUAGGAUCUGGUGGAUACGGGAAGGUUUACCGGGGCAUGCUUUCUGAUGGACAAGUGGUGGCAAUCAAAAGAGCUCAGCAAGGAUCAAUGCAGGGUGGCCUUGAGUUCAAGACUGAAAUCGAGUUGCUCUCGCGAGUUCAUCACAAAAAUGUUGUUGGCCUUUUGGGAUUUUGUUUUGAACAAGGAGAACAGAUGCUGGUUUAUGAGUUUAUGCCUAAUGGAACACUCAGGGAAAGCUUGUCAGGGAGAUCUGGUAUUCAUCUUGAUUGGAAGAGGAGACUCCGCAUCACUCUUGGCUCGGCAAGAGGACUAGCUUACCUACAUGAGCUUGCAAAUCCUCCUAUAAUUCACAGAGAUGUGAAGUCCGCCAACAUUCUAUUAGAUGAACAUUUAACCGCGAAGGUUGCAGAUUUCGGCUUGUCCAAGCUGGUAGCUGACAGUGGAAAAGGGCAUGUCUCAAGUCAGGUCAAAGGUGGGAUAUCUUGA